AUGGUUAAGUUAGAAAGGGCGCACGGUGAAUGCCUUGGCACUAGGAGCCGAUGAAGGACGGGACUAACACCGAUAUGCUUCGGGGAGCUGUAAGUGAGCUUUGAUCCGGAGAUUUCCGAAUGGGGAAACCCACUGUUCGUAAUGGAACAGUAUCUUUAUCUGAAUACAUAGGAUAUUGAAGGCAGACCCGGGGAACUGAAACAUCUAAGUACCCGGAGGAAGAGAAAGCAAAUGCGAUUUCCUGAGUAGCGGCGAGCGAAACGGAAUUAGCCCAAACCAAGAGGCUUGCCUCUUGGGGUUGUAGGACACUCUAUACGGAGUUACAAAGGAACGAAGUAAAUGAAGCGACCUGGAAAGGUCCGUCGAAGAAGGUAACAACCCUGUAGUUGAAACUUCGUUCCCUCUUGAGUGGAUCCUGAGUACGGCGGAACACGUGAAAUUCCGUCGGAAGCUGGGAGGACCAUCUCCCAAGGCUAAAUACUACCUAGUGACCGAUAGUGAACCAGUACCGUGAGGGAAAGGUGAAAAGCACCCCGGAAGGGGAGUGAAAGAGAUCCUGAAACCGUGUGCCUACAAGUAGUCAGAGCCCGUUAACGGGUGAUGGCGUGCCUUUUGUAGAAUGAACCGGCGAGUUACGAUCCCAUGCAAGGUUAAGCUGAUAAGGCGGAGCCGUAGCGAAAGCGAGUCUGAAUAGGGCGUUUAGUAUGUGGUUGUAGACCCGAAACCAGGUGAUCUACCCAUGUCCAGGGUGAAGUUCAGGUAACACUGAAUGGAGGCCCGAACCCACGCACGUUGAAAAGUGCGGGGAUGAGGUGUGGGUAGCGGAGAAAUUCCAAUCGAACCUGGAGAUAGCUGGUUCUCUCCGAAAUAGCUUUAGGGCUAGCCUCAUGUUGUGAGAGUCUUGGAGGUAGAGCACUGAUUGGACUAGGGGCCCCCAACGGGUUACCGAAUUCAGUCAAACUCCGAAUGCCAAAGACUUAUCCAUGGGAGUCAGACUGCGAGUGAUAAGAUCCGUAGUCAAAAGGGAAACAGCCCAGACCACCAGCUAAGGUCCCCAAGUAUACGUUAAGUGGAAAAGGAUGUGGAGUUGCUUAGACAACCAGGAUGUUGGCUUAGAAGCAGCCACCAUUUAAAGAGUGCGUAAUAGCUCACUGGUCGAGUGACUCUGCGCCGAAAAUGUACCGGGGCUAAACGUAUCACCGAAGCUGUGGAUUGACAUCUUUGAUGUCAGUGGUAGGAGAGCGUUCUAAGUGCUGUGAAGUCAGACCGUAAGGACUGGUGGAGCGCUUAGAAGUGAGAAUGCCGGUAUGAGUAGCGAAAGACAAGUGAGAAUCUUGUCCACCGAAUGCCUAAGGUUUCCUGAGGAAGGCUCGUCCGCUCAGGGUUAGUCGGGACCUAAGCCGAGGCUGAAAAGCGUAGGCGAUGGCCAACAGGUUGAUAUUCCUGUACCACCUCCCCGCCGUUUGAGUAAUGGGGGGACGCAGUAGGAUAGGGUAAGCGCGCUGCUGGAUAUGCGCGUUCAAGCAGUUAGGCUGAUGAGUAGGCAAAUCCGCUCAUCAUAAAGGCUGAGCUGUGAUGACGAGGGAAUUAUAGUACCGAAGUUCCUGAUUCCACACUGCCAAGAAAAGCCUCUAGCGAGGCGGGAGGUGCCCGUACCGCAAACCGACACAGGUAGGCGAGGAGAGAAUCCUAAGGUGAUCGAGAGAACUCUCGUUAAGGAACUCGGCAAAAUGACCCCGUAACUUCGGGAGAAGGGGUGCUCUGGUAGGGUGUAUAGCCCGAGAG
rnacentral:rRNA from 1 species